CCUACGGGUGGCAGCAGUGGGGAAUAUUGGGCAAUGGGCGCAAGCCUGACCCAGCAACGCCGCGUGAAGGAAGAAGGCUUUCUGGUUGUAAACUUCUUUUGUCAGGGGAGAGUAGGAGACGGUACCUGACGAAUAACCCACGGCUAACUACUUGCCAGCAGCCGCGGUAAUACGUAGGACGCAAGCGUUGUCCGGAUUUACUGGGUGUAAAGGGCGUGUAGCAGGGUUGACAAGUAAGAUGUGAAAUCCUGCUGCUUAACCGCAGAACUGCAUGUGAAACUGUUGAUCUUGAGUGGGCGUGAAGUAUGCGGAAUGCGGGGUGUAGCGGUGAAAUGCAUAGAUAUCACGCAGAACUCCGAUUGCGAAGGCAGCAUACCGGCGCCUGACUGACGCUGAGGCACGAAAGCGUGGGGAUCGAACAGGAUUAGAUACCCGUGUAGUC
rnacentral:rRNA from 1 species